rnacentral:rRNA from 1 species
GGGGGGGGGGGGGGGGGGGGCGGGGGGGGGGGGGUGGGGGGGCGGGGGGGGGGGGGGGGGGGGGGGGGGGGUGGCGGGGGGGGGGGGAAGAGAGCGGAACAGGGACUGUGGUGGGGGGUAGCCCGGGGAAAGGCGGGGUACUGCCGCAUACGGUCUGCGGAUGCAAGCGGGGGACAUUGGGGCCUCGCGCGAUAGGGUUGGACGAGGGCUGGUGAGCUAGUCGUUGGGGUAAAGGCCUACCAAGGCGACGAUCAGUAGGUGGUCUGAGAGGACGACCAGCCACACUGGGACUGAGACACGGCCCAGACUCCUACGGGAGGCAGCAGUGGGGAAUUUUGGACAAUGGGCGAAAGACUGAUCCAGCAAUGCCGCGUGUGUGAAGAAGGCCUUCGGGUUGUAAAGCACUUUUGUCCGGAAAGAAAUCCUUGGCCCUAAUACGGUCGGGGGAUGACGGUACCGGAAGAAUAAGCACCGGCUAACUACGUG